rnacentral:rRNA from 1 species
UACGAAGGGGGCGAGCGUUGUUCGGAUUUACUGGGCGUAAAGGGCGCGUAGGCGGCGAUCCAAGUUAGGCGUGAAAGCCCCGGGCUUAACCUGGGAAUUGCGCUUAAGACUGGACUGCUUGAGUGCGGGAGAGGUGAGUGGAAUUCCCAGUGUAGAGGUGAAAUUCGUAGAUAUUGGGAAGAACACCAGUGGCGAAGGCGGCUCACUGGCCCGCAACUGACACUGAGGCGCGAAAGCGUGGGGAGCAAACAGG